UACGGGGGGGGCAAGCGUUGUUCGGAAUACUGGGCGUAAAGGGUCUGUAGGUGGCCAACUAAGUCAGACGUGAAAUCCCUCAGCUUAACUGGGGAACUGCGUCUGAUACUGGAUGGCUUGAGUGUGGGAGAGGAAUGCGGAAUUCCAGGUGUAGCGGUGAAAUGCGUAGAUAUCUGGAGGAACACCGGUGGCGAAGGCGGCAUUCUGGACCAUAACUGACACUGAGAGACGAAAGCCAGGGGAGCAAACGGG
rnacentral:rRNA from 1 species